AUUGAACGCUGGCGGCAUGCCUUACACAUGCAAGUCGAACGGUAACAGGUCUUCGGAUGCUGACGAGUGGCGAACGGGUGAGUAAUACAUCGGAACGUGCCCGAUCGUGGGGGAUAACGAGGCGAAAGCUUUGCUAAUACCGCAUACGAUCUACGGAUGAAAGCGGGGGAUCUUCGGACCUCGCGCGGACGGAGCGGCCGAUGGCAGAUUAGGUAGUUGGUGGGAUAAAAGCUUACCAAGCCGACGAUCUGUAGCUGGUCUGAGAGGAUGAUCAGCCACACUGGGACUGAGACACGGCCCAGACUCCUACGGGAGGCAGCAGUGGGGAAUUUUGGACAAUGGGCGAAAGCCUGAUCCAGCCAUGCCGCGUGCAGGAUGAAGGCCUUCGGGUUGUAAACUGCUUUUGUACGGAACGAAAAGCCUCUUUCUAAUAAAGAGGGGUCAUGACGGUACCGUAAGAAUAAGCACCGGUUAACUACGUG
rnacentral:rRNA from 1 species